GACGAACGCUGGCGGCGCGCCUAACACAUGCAAGUCGAACGAGCGAGAGAGAGCUUGCUUUCUCGAGCGAGUGGCGAACGGGUGAGUAACGCGUGAGGAACCUGCCUCAAAGAGGGGGACAACAGUUGGAAACGACUGCUAAUACCGCAUAAGCCCACGGCUCGGCAUCGAGCAGGGGGAAAAGGAGCAAUCCGCUUUGAGAGGGCCUCGCGUCCGAUUAGCUAGUUGGUGGGGUAACGGCCCACCAAGGCGACGAUCGGUAGCCGGACUGAGAGGUUGAACGGCCACAUUGGGACUGAGACACGGCCCAGACUCCUACGGGAGGCAGCAGUGGGGAAUAUUGCACAAUGGGGGAAACCCUGAUGCAGCGACGCCGCGUGGAGGAAGAAGGUCUUCGGAUUGUAAACUCCUGUUGUUGGGGAAGAUAAUGACGGUACCCAACAAGGAAGUGACGGCUAACUACGUG
rnacentral:rRNA from 1 species